CAUGGCAAACGGGAGAGUAACACAUUGAUAACCUACCCUGAAGACGAGGAUAACCUUGCGAAAGCGAGAAUAAUACUCGAUGGUAUUAAAAAACUUAUGUUUUUUAAUUAAAGCUCCGGUGCUUCGGGAGGGGUCUAUGUCCUAUCAGCUUGUUGGUGAGGUAAUGGCUCACCAAGGCGACGACGGGUACCGGGUGUGAGAGCAUGACCCGGCUCACUGGGACUGAGACACUGCCCAGACUCCUACGGGAGGCUGCAGUCAAGAAUAUUCCUCAAUGGGCGAAAGCCUGAAGGAGCGACGCCGCGUGUACGAAGAAGCCUUUCGGGGUGUAAAGUACUUUUAUUAGGGAUGAAACAAUGACAGUACCUAAUGAAUAAGGGGCUGCUAACCUCGUGCCAGCAGCAGCGGUAAUACGAGGGCCCCAAGCAUUAUCCGGAUUUAUUGGGCGUAAAGCGUCCGUAGACGGUUUUUCGCAUCUCCUGUUAAAUCCUCUGGCUCAACCAGGGGGCUGCGGGAGAGAUGGAUAAACUAGAGACUGGAAGAGGCAAGCGGAAUUGCUGGUGUAGGGGUUAAAUCCGUUAAUAUCAGCAGGAACACUCAAUGCGAAGGCAACUUGCUGGGACAGUUCUGACGUUCAGGGACGAAAGCGUGGG
rnacentral:rRNA from 1 species